UAGGGAAUCUUCCGCAAUGGGCGAAAGCCUGACGGAGCAACGCCGCGUGAGUGAUGAAGGUCUUCGGAUCGUAAAACUCUGUUAGUAGGGAAGAACAUAUGUGUAAGUAACUGUGCACAUCUUGACGGUACCUAAUCAGAAAGCCACGGCUAACUACGUGCCAGCAGCCGCGGUAAUACGUAGGUGGCAAGCGUUAUCCGGAAUUAUUGGGCGUAAAGCGCGCGUAGGCGGUUUUUUAAGUCUGAUGUGAAAGCCCACGGCUCAACCGUGGAGGGUCAUUGGAAACUGGAAAACUUGAGUGCAGAAGAGGAAAGUGGAAUUCCAUGUGUAGCGGUGAAAUGCGCAGAGAUAUGGAGGAACACCAGUGGCGAAGGCGACUUUCUGGUCUGUAACUGACGCUGAUGUGCGAAAGCGUGGGGAUCAAACAGGAUUAGAUACCCUGGUAGUCCACGCCGUAAACGAUGAGUGCUAAGUGUUAGGGGGUUUCCGCCCCUUAGUGCUGCAGCUAACGCAUUAAGCACUCCGCCUGGGGAGUACGACCGCAAGGUUG
rnacentral:rRNA from 1 species